rnacentral:sRNA from 1 species
UUGUGUGAGGGGUAGCAGCGAUAUCCUUUUGUUUUUUUCUUUAAAAAACAAAAGAUUUAGCGGAUGACCCGACCCGCU